rnacentral:rRNA from 1 species
UGGGGAAUAUUGCACAAUGGAGGGAACUCUGAUGCAGCGACGCCGCGUGAACGAAGAAGGCUUUCGAGUCGUAAAGUUCUUUUAUAUGGGAAGAUAAUGACGGUACCAUAAGAAAAAGCCCCGGCUAACUACGUGCCAGCAGCCGCGGUAAUACGUAGGGGGCUAGCGUUGUCCGGAAUCACUGGGCGUAAAGGGUUCGCAGGCGGAAAUGCAAGUCAGGUGUAAAAGGCAGUAGCUUAACUACUAUAAGCAUUUGAAACUGCAUAUCUUGAGAAGAGUAGAGGUAAGUGAAAUUUUUAGUGUAGCGGUGAAAUGCGUAGAUAUUAAAAAGAAUACCGGUGGCGAAGGCGACUUACUGGGCUCAUUCUGACGCUGAGGAACGAAAGCGUGGGUAGCAAACAGG